rnacentral:rRNA from 1 species
UGGGGAAUUUUGGACAAUGGGCGAAAGCCUGAUCCAGCAAUGCCGCGUGUGUGAAGAAGGCCUUCGGGUUGUAAAGCACUUUUGUCCGGAAAGAAAUCCUUGGCUCUAAUACAGUCGGGGGAUGACGGUACCGGAAGAAUAAGCACCGGCUAACUACGUGCCAGCAGCCGCGGUAAUACGUAGGGUGCAAGCGUUAAUCGGAAUUACUGGGCGUAAGCGUGCGCAGGCGGUUUGCUAAGACCGAUGUGAAAUCCCCGGGCUCAACCUGGGAACUGCAUUGGUGACUGGCAGGCUAGAGUAUGGCAGAGGGGGGUAGAAUUCCACGUGUAGCAGUGAAAUGCGUAGAGAUGUGGAGGAAUACCGAUGGCGAAGGCAGCCCCCUGGGCCAAUACUGACGCUCAUGCACGAAAGCGUGGGGAGCAAACAGGAUUAGAUACCCUGGUAGUCCACGCCCUAAACGAUGUCAACUAGUUGUUGGGGAUUCAUUUCCUUAGUAACGUAGCUAACGCGUGAAGUUGACCGCCUGGGGAGUACGGUCGCAAGAUUAAAACUCAAGGAAUUGAC